AUGGCGAGUCAGACCCAGACCCCCACCUCGGGGAAGCCCCGGCCUGGUGGGAGAGGCAUGCUGGACACGGACAGUUCUAACUCAGAGGACCGCCAGAGGAGGAUGGGGCGUCUGCCUGGGGAGAGCAGGUGUCACCACGGCCGACAGCCCCCAGGGCAUGGUGGGUAUGCAGCAGCCUCAACUCCAGGCUCAACUUACCAGCUGUGUGACCUUAGGGACGGUGGUGGAACCCUGGCUCUGUGGCCUGGCAGUUUGGGUCUGGGCUGGGAUCCCAGCUCUUCCACAGACCAGCGACGCAAAGCUGCACGGGCCUUGCUUGCCUCAUCUGUAAAGUGGAGGCAGCUGCCAGGAACAGGCUCCCUGAAAUCUGCCCAUCACCCUGCUUCCCAUCAGGAACAAGAUAAGAAUGUCUUCUCUCCCUACUUUAUUCAACAUUGUACUAGAAGUUCUAGCCAGAAAAAUCAGACAAGAAGAUAA
rnacentral:lncRNA from 9 species